rnacentral:rRNA from 1 species
UAGGGAAUCUUCGGCAAUGGACGGAAGUCUGACCGAGCAACGCCGCGUGAGUGAAGAAGGUUUUCGGAUCGUAAAGCUCUGUUGUAAGAGAAGAACGAGUGUGAGAGUGGAAAGUUCACACUGUGACGGUAUCUUACCAGAAAGGGACGGCUAACUACGUGCCAGCAGCCGCGGUAAUACGUAGGUCCCGAGCGUUGUCCGGAUUUAUUGGGCGUAAAGCGAGCGCAGGCGGUUAGAUAAGUCUGAAGUUAAAGGCUGUGGCUUAACCAUAGUACGCUUUGGAAACUGUUUAACUUGCGUGCAAGAGGGGAGAGUGGAAUUCCAUGUGUAGCGGUGAAAUGCGUAGAUAUAUGGAGGAACACCGGUGGCGAAAGCGGCUCUCUGGCUUGUAACUGACGCUGAGGCUCGAAAGCGUGGGGAGCAAACAGGAUUAGAUACCCUGGUAGUCCACGCCGUAAACGAUGAGUGCUAGGUGUUAGACCCUUUCCGGGGUUUAGUGCCGUAGCUAACGCAUUAAGCANUCCGCCUGGGGAGUACGACCGCAAGGUUG